rnacentral:rRNA from 1 species
UUGAGAGAAGAGCCCGGAGAUGGACACUGAGAAAAGGGUCCAGGCCCUACGGGCGCAGCAGNCGCGAAAACUUUGCAAUGUGCGAAAGCACGACAAGGUUAAUCCGAGUGCAACAUGCUGAAUGUAGCUUUUGGUAAAUGUAAAUAGUUUAUUGAAUAAGGGGAGGGAAAGUCUGGUGUCAGCCGCCGCGGUAAUACCAGCUCCCCGAGUGGUCGGGNCGAUUAUUGGGCCUAAAGCAUCCGUAGCCUGUUCUGUAGGUCUUAUGUUAAAAUCAAUUGCUCAACAAUUGAACUGCAUGAGAUACCACAAAACUAGGAGGCGGGAGAGGUGGACGGUACUCCACGGGUAGGGGUAAAAUCCUCUGAACCGUGGAAGACCACCAGUGGCGAAGGCGGUCCACCAGAACGCGCUCGACGGUGAGGGAUGAAAGCUGGGGUAGCGAACCGGAUUAGAUACCCGGGUAGUCCCAGCUGUAAACGAUGCAAGCUAGGUGAUGCAUCAGCCACGUGUUGAUGCAGUGCCGCAGGGAAGCCGUUAAGCUUGCCGCCUGGGGAGUACGGUCGCAAGGCUGAAACUUAAAGGAAUUGGCGGGGGAGCACCACAAGGGGUGAAGCCUGCGGUUCAAUUGGAGUCAACGCCGGGAACCUUACCAGGAGAGACAGCAGAGUGAAGGUCAAGCUGAAGACUUUACCAGACAAGCUGAGAGGAGGCGCAUGGCCGUCGACAGCUCGUGCCGUGAGGCGUCCUGUUAAGUCAGGCAACGAGCGAGACCCUUGCCAUUAAUUGCUUCCAUCGAUCGAAAGGUUGGCGGAGCUAGUUAAUGGGACUGCCGUUGAUAAAACGGAGGAAGGAAGGGGCCACGGCAGGUCAGUAUGCCCCGAAACUCUUGGGCCACACGCGGGCUGCAAUGGUAGGCACAAUAGGUACCGAAUUCGAGAGAAUGAGGCAAUCCCAAAAUCCUACCCCAGUUGUGAUUGAGGGCUGCAACUCGCCCUCAUGAAUCUGGAAUCCCUAGUAACCGCGUGUCAACAUCGCGCGGUGAAUACGUCCCUGCUCCUUGCACACACCGCCCGUCGCUUCACCCGAGUUGGGUUUGGGGUAGAUAGUGUCUUAUUGACAUUAUC